GUUCUCGUAGUUAAAUGGAUAUAACGGCUUCCUCCUAAGAAGCAAUUACAGGUUCGAUUCCUGUCGAGGACACCA
rnacentral:tRNA from 1 species